rnacentral:rRNA from 1 species
GAUUAACGCUGGCGGCGUGCAUAACACAUGCAAGUCGAACGAUGAAACUUAAAUGAUUUCUUCGGAAUGAACUUAAGUGGAUUAGUGGCGGACGGGUGAGUAACGCGUGAGUAACCUGCCUUACACAAGGGGAUAGCCGUUGGAAACGACGAAUAAUACCCUAUGAUGUUUCUAUCUCGCAUGAGAUAUUAACCAAAGUGUUAACGGUGUGAGAUGUACUUGCGUCCGAUUAGCUAGUUGGUGAGAUAAAAGCCCACCAAGGCAAUGAACAGUAACCGGCCUGAGAGGAUGACCAGUCAGAGGGAAACUGAGACACGGUUCCCACAUCUACGGAAGGGAGCAGUAAAGAGACUUCCACAAUGGACGAAAGUCUGAUGGGGCGACACCGCGUGCAGGAUGAAGGCCCUUGGGUCGGAAACUGCUUUUUUGAGGGAAAAAUUCUGAUUGUACCCUAAGAAUAAGCACCGGCAAAUCACGUG